rnacentral:rRNA from 1 species
GACGAACGCUGGCGGCGUGCUUAACACAUGCAAGUCGAACGAAGAGCGAUGGAAGCUUGCUUCUCUCAAUCUUAGUGGCGAACGGGUGAGUAACGCGUAAUCAACCUGCCCUUCAGAGGGGGACAACAGUUGGAAACGACUGCUAAUACCGCACACGUUCUAAUCUCGGCAUCGAGGAUAGAUGAAAGGUGGCCUCUACAUUUAAGCUAUCACUGAAGGUGGGGAUUGCGUCUGUUUAGCUAGUGGGAGGGGUAACGGCCCACCAAGGCGAGGGUCCGUAGCCGUGCGGCGAGGAGGAACGGCCACUUUGGGAGUGGGACACGGCCCAGCGUCCUUCGGGAGGCAGCAGUGGCGAAUCUUCCGCAAUGGACGAAAGUCUGACGGAGCAACGCCGCGUGAGUGGUGACGGCCUUCGGGUUGUAAUGCUCUGUUAAUCGGGACGAAAGGCCUUCUUGCGAAUAGUGAGAAGGAUUGACGGUACCGGAAUAGAAAGCCACGGCUAACUACGUG